rnacentral:rRNA from 1 species
AGUGAACGCUGGCGGUAGGCCUAACACAUGCAAGUCGAACGGCAGCACAGGAGAGCUUGCUCUCUGGGUGGCGAGUGGCGGACGGGUGAGGAAUACAUCGGAAUCUACUCUGUCGUGGGGGAUAACGUAGGGAAACUUACGCUAAUACCGCAUACGACCUACGGGUGAAAUCAGGGGACCUUCGGGCCUUGCGCGAUCGAAUGAGCCGAUGUCGGAUUAGCUAGGUGGCGGGGUAAAGGCCCACCAAGGCGACGAUCCGUAGCUGGGCUGAUGGAAUGCUCAGCCGCACUGGACUGGAGAUCCGGCCCAAGCACCUACGGGAGGCAGAAGUGGGGAAGUUGGGACAAAGGGUGCGAGCCUGAUUCCGCCAUUCGGCGUGGGUGAAGAAGGCCUUGGCGUUGUAAAGCCCUUCUGUCGGGACAGAAAGCGAGCUGGUUAAUCCCCCGUUGGGAUGACGGUACCCCAAGCAUAAGCACCGGCUAACUUCGUGCCAGCAGCCGCGGUAA